UGGAUGACAAAAUUAUCUAACAGUUAGCUUCUAACUUCAACUGCUUGUACACGUUUGUUGAUUUAUCAGUUUAUCAUAAACGUGUCAAUCAUACUUUCUGCUGUUGGUGUUGGUUAUGGAGCAGAAAGGGGCAAACCAACUAUUAGUUAAAAAAGCACUCUGUUUAAAGCUCCAAACGAUACCCAAUUAUCUGAAACUAGUGAUAAUAUUGUUAUUCUGUGUUCUGUGUGUGUUAUUUUGGGCCACUGCUAAAGCAAUGAGUUAUUAAUAUUAUUCUGCAUAUGUGGAGACUGACUUGACAUGAUAUUUUGUACUAGGGGACUAAAUCCUCUCCAAGAUACAGAACAGCACGUGAAGUUGGACAAAGAUAAAGACACACAUGGAGAUAUAUCAAUCACACCAAAGGGCGAGGUGUAUUUGCAAAAGGCUUUAUUUUGAAAGGUUCGUUCUUGAAUCCAGAGGAAUCUUGUAUAAGCAUUGAUGCUUCAAGCGUUGACAGAUCACUUGGGAGACUAGUGAAUGAUGAGCAGAAACCCAAUGCAAAGAUGAAAAAGAAGUGGGUGGUAUGCCCCAUCUUUUUUUAUUGGCCGUUAUGGAUGGAAGGGAAGUUCGAGAGAUUACUUAUGACUAUGGAGGUGUUGACUUGCCAUGACAUUCCUGCCAUGGACAGGAAAUGCCCAAGCCCAUGGCUCCAGCUACAUUCCAGGACCAAGUCGUCUCUCCCACUGCCCCUCCUGAAGAGUGGAUAACAGAGGUAAAUGCACAUCUGCAAGAACACCAUGGAUGAAAGCUGAGGUCAACUCUGUGAUGUGACGCUUCAAAUCUCAUAUCAUGAAAGGUCGCUUGCCAUCUAAGAGGGAAUGUGAGGUGUGCAAAAAGUGUGAGCAUCCAGCUCUACAAAACAGGACAUGCCAAAAUAUCAGAGAUUUUGUUUGAACCAUUUAAACGUCAGUUGAACUAAAUUGAAUUUGUCCAAGGGACUAAAUCUCUGUCACGUUUUCACUUGUGAUUUUAUUGUUUUUAUUCCCAUCACUGAGUGACAGUGUUUAACAUGUUUACUCUCUGAAUGAUGCUGUUGAAGGUUUUAAUGUAGAUGUUUAUUCCAAUGGAACAAAUUUUUCUAAAUGACAAUUUUUUUUUUUCCUCCCUCUUGUUGUAUCAUAUGUGUAAUAUCAUUGUUUACACAUAUGAUACAUUCCUGAUAUUCAAUAUUUUAAACAAUCAUCUCAUCUAAAGCAUCACCAUCACAACUGCAUUAUGUCCCUCAUAUUUGUCUAGCAAAUUUUAAUAAAUAAACGGAUGACUACUAUGAUUAAAUGAAUCACAAAGAGUGGCCAUUCAUUUGUUCAAUGAGCACUUGUCGAUGUGCAUGAUACGAGAUAUUUGUGUCGGCUCUCCUGGAGGUGUCGUGACACAGAAUUGUUUGCAGCAUCAGAUCUGC